rnacentral:lncRNA from 1 species
GCAUAGGUUAUGUGCAAAUACUACACCACCUUCCUUCAGGGAUUGGGGCCUCUGUGGAUUUGGGUAUCCAUGGAGGUUCCUGGAAUCAAUCCCCCAUGGAUACCAAUGGAUGGCUAUAUUUAAAUAGCAAGGGCAAGAAAUCAUUUAGAACAUGAUUUAAAGAAAUAAAAGCUCCCAUUCAGUAGGAAACCAUAAUCUUUAAUAUUUAGCUGCACCUACU